UACGAGUGCCCCAAGCGUUACCCGGAUUUACUGGGCGUAAAGGGUGUGUAGGUGGUUGUGUUAGUCCCCUGUUAAAUCUUUGGGCUCAACCCAAAGGCAGCAGGGGAAACGGCAUAACUUGAGGAUGCGAGAGGUGUACGGAACUCACGGUGUAGGGGUGAAAUCCGUUGAUAUCGUGGGGAACACCAAAAGCGAAGGCAGUACACUGGCGCAUUCCUGACACUGAGACACGAAAGCUAGGGUAGCGAACGGG
rnacentral:misc_RNA from 1 species